CGGUGAAGCUGCCAGAACGAAUAAGCGGGCGAGAACUGAUGUGGAGGGCGUUAACUUCCUCCAAGUUCCACGUAUGGCGAUAAUGAGAUAUGGCAGUGGAGGAGCAAAAAUUUGCGCCGGCGGGAAAUCGAACGGCAGUGGCUGUAUCGAUCAUCAUCAUUUUUUCUUCUCUAUAUCUCUCUCCAAAUUAUUAAAGAAGUGCGAGAUCUAUUAUCUGUGAAGCAAGUGAAGCGCUUUGCUUCGUUGAAGGAUUCGACUGGAUGAGGUCUGGGAUGCGAUUCUAUGCGACCAUACAGAUUUAGUUUUC
rnacentral:misc_RNA from 1 species